rnacentral:rRNA from 1 species
CAGGAUGAACGCUGGCGGCGUGCCUAACACAUGCAAGUCGAACGAUUAAACCGCCCUCGGGCGGACAUAGAGUGGCGAACGGGUGAGUAACACGUGACCAACCUGCCCCGCGCUCCGGGACAACCGCUGGAAACGGCGGCUAAUACCGGGUACUCCGGGAGGGCCCCAUGGCCCUGCCGGGAAAGCCGAGACGGCGCGGGAUGGGGUCGCGGCCCAUUAGGUAGACGGCGGGGUAACGGCCCACCGUGCCCGCGAUGGGUAGCCGGACUGAGAGGUCGACCGGCCACAUUGGGACUGAGAUACGGCCCAGACUCCUACGGGAGGCAGCAGUGGGGAAUUUUGCGCAAUGGGGGCAACCCUGACGCAGCAACGCCGCGUGCGGGACGAAGGCCCUCGGGUUGUAAACCGCUUUCAGCAGGGAAGAUCCAAGACGGUACCUGCAGAAGAAGCUCCGGCUAACUACGUGCCAGCAGCCGCGGUAAUACGUAGGGGGCGAGCGUUAUCCGGAUUCAUUGGGCGUAAAGCGCGCGUAGGCGGCCGCCUAAGCGGGACCUCUAACCCCGGGGCUCAACCCCGGGCCGGGUCCCGGACUGGGCGGCUCGAGUGCGGUAGAGGAGAGCGGAAUUCCCGGUGUAGCGGUGGAAUGCGCAGAUAUCGGGAAGAACACCGAUGGCGAAGGCAGCUCUCUGGGCCGUCACUGACGCUGAGGCGCGAAAGCUGGGGGAGCGAACAGGAUUAGAUACCCUGGUAGUCCCAGCCGUAAACGAUGGGCGCUAGGUGUGGGGGGACGAUCCCUCCGUGCCGCAGCCAACGCAUUAAGCGCCCCGCCUGGGGAGUACGGCCGCAAGGCUAAAACUCAAAGGAAUUGACGGGGGCCCGCACAAGCAGCGGAGCAUGUGGCUUAAUUCGAAGCAACGCGAAGAACCUUACCAGGGCUUGACAUGCCGAUGAAGCCGGGGAGACCCGGUGGCCGAGAGGAGUCGGCGCAGGUGGUGCAUGGCUGUCGUCAGCUCGUGUCGUGAGAUGUUGGGUUAAGUCCCGCAACGAGCGCAACCCCCGCCCCGUGUUGCCAGCAUUCAGUUGGGGACUCGCGGGGGACUGCCGGCGUCAAGCCGGAGGAAGGUGGGGACGACGUCAAGUCAUCAUGCCCCUUAUGCCCUGGGCUGCACACGUGCUACAAUGGCCGGUACAGAGGGUUGCCACCCCGCGAGGGGGAGCGGAUCCCGGAAAGCCGGCCCCAGUUCGGAUCGCAGGCUGCAACCCGCCUGCGUGAAGCCGGAGUUGCUAGUAAUCGCGGAUCAGCACGCCGCGGUG